ACGUUAUUGAGAUGCUCGUUACUUGUCGAAAAACGUUCACGCGAUACAGUUGAUUCGUGCUCCGGGAUUCCAUAAUCUAUAAUAUAAAUUCAGGUCGCAGAUUGCGAUAACUUGUGCGCGCGAUAUCUAUUGUUUAAAAUUGACAUAAAAUGUAUAGUCAAGUAAUAUACUUUAUUUUUAUCAACUCCUUAAUAGUCACUAUAAUAUUCUUUGUAAUCUAUCUUCUUGAGGAUAUGAUUGAGAAAUAUAUAAUAGGGCUAUUAAAUAUAUGAAAUGGCUAUUAAAUAAUAUAAAAAGUGUAGUUUUGACAGUAUGGGUCGAGUUGACAAAUAAGUUUAUAUAAAAUAAUUCUUAAUCGUAAUACUAUUCUGAUGAACCAGCUGAGCUCAUAACUAAUCGAAUUAAAAUGUAACUGGAGAGAGAAUUAUUCUACUCGAUUAUAGUUGCAGAUUGCGAUAACUGGUGCACGCGAUAUCUAUUGUUUAAAAUCGACAUAAAAUGAAUAGAUAUGAUUUAGUACACUUAAUUCCUGUCUGCGUCGUAAUAUUCUUUAUAAUCUAUCUUAUUGAGGAUAAGAUGAGGAAAUAUAUAAUACGGCUAUUAAAUAUAUAUGAAAUGGAUAUUGAAUAAUACAAAAAGUGUAGUUUUGACAGUAUGGGUCGAGUUGACAAAUAUGUUUAUAAAAAAUAAUUCUUAACCGUAAUACUAUUCUGAUGAACCAGCUGAACUCAUAACUAAUCGGAUUAAAAUGUAACUGGAGACGGAGAGAGAAUUAUUCUACUCGAUUAUAGAGACUUAUGUAUAAGACAAUUACAAUGGCAAUAAUCAAAUUUUACAUCUGAGCAUCCUGCAAAAGUUACAUAAAUAGCAUAAACGCGAUGAGAAGGACAAUUAUUUUAAAACGUUACAUACCCUCCAUAUUUCCAGUUGACGAGAAUCUCAUUAUCGUAAAAUAUUGACGCAGUUGAUUUAUCUUCCAAGACUAUUCAAAAUAAUACAAAAACAAAUCGUAGAUAGUGAUAAUUUACACGAUCGGUAUCUAUUAAGAAUGACACAAAAUGCAUAUUUUGCAUUUAUUACUGCAUUUAUUACUACCUUGUACUAAUAUAUUUACAUAUGGAUAAAAUUGGAGAAUAGCACAAUUUUUAUAUUAUAGAAUAUUAAUUAUAUAUACAUUAUA